GAUGAACGCUGGCGGCGUGCCUAAUACAUGCAAGUCGAGCGAACGGACGAGAAGCUUGCUUCUCUGAUGUUAGCGGCGGACGGGUGAGUAACACGUGGAUAACCUACCUAUAAGACUGGGAUAACUUCGGGAAACCGUAGCUAAUACCGGAUAAUAUUUUGAACCGCAUGGUUCAAAAGUGAAAGACGGUCUUGCUGUCACUUAUAGAUGGAUCCGCGCUGCAUUAGCUAGUUGGUAAGGUAACGGCUUACCAAGGCAACGAUGCAUAGCCGACCUGAGAGGGUGAUCGGCCACACUGGAACUGAGACACGGUCCAGACUCCUACGGGAGGCAGCAGUAGGGAAUCUUCCGCAAUGGGCGAAAGCCUGACGGAGCAACGCCGCGUGAGUGAUGAAGGUCUUCGGAUCGUAAAACUCUGUUAUUAGGGAAGAACAUAUGUGUAAGUAACUGUGCACAUCCUGACGGUACCUAAUCAGAAAGCCACGGCUAACUACGU
rnacentral:rRNA from 1 species